rnacentral:rRNA from 1 species
ACGGGUGAGUAAUAUAUCGGAACGUGCCCAAUCGUGGGGGAUAACGUAGAGAAAUUUACGCUAAUACCGCAUACGAUCUAAGGAUGAAAGCGGGGGAUCGCAAGACCUCGCGCGAUUGGAGCGGCUGAUAUCAGAUUAGCUUGUUGGUGAGGUAAAAGCUCACCAAGGCGACGAUCUGUAGCUGGUUUGAGAGAACGACCAGCCACACUGGGACUGAGACACGGCCCAGACUCCUACGGGAGGCAGCAGUGGGGAAUUUUGGACAAUGGGCGAAAGCCUGAUCCAGCAAUGCCGCGUGCAGGAAGAAGGCCUUCGGGUUGUAAACUGCUUUUGUACGGAACGAAAAAGCUCUUUCUAAUAAAGAGGGCUCAUGACGGUACCGUAAGAAUAAGCACCGGCUAACUACGUGCCAGCAGCCGCGGUAAUACGUAGGGUGCGAGCGUUAAUCGGAAUUACUGGGCGUAAAGCGUGCGCAGGCGGUUAUAUAAGACAGUUGUGAAAUCCCCGGGCUCAACCUGGGAAUUGCAUCUGUGACUGUAUAGCUAGAGUACGGUAGAGGGGGAUGGAAUUCCGCGUGUAGCAGUGAAAUGCGU